rnacentral:rRNA from 1 species
AAUAGAUACCCUGGUAGUCCACGCCGUAAAUGGUGAGUGCUAAGUGUUAGGGGGUUUCCGCCCCUUAGUGCUGCAGCUAACGCAUUAAGCACUCCGCCUGGGGAGUACGGUCGCAAGACUGAAACUCAAAGGAAUUGACGGGGGCCCGCACAAGCGGUGGAGCAUGUGGUUUAAUUCAAAGCAACGCGAAGAACCUUACCAGGUCUUGACAUCCCAUUGACCGCUAUGGAGACAUAGUUUUCCCUUCGGGGACAGUGGUGACAGGUGGUGCAUGGUUGUCGUCAGCUCGUGUCGUGAGAUGUUGGGUUAAGUCCCGCAACGAGCGCAACCCUUGUUCUUAGUUGCCAUCAUUUAGUUGGGCACUCUAAGGAGACUGCCGGUGACAAACCGGAGGAAGGUGGGGAUGACGUCAAAUCAUCAUGCCCCUUAUGACCUGGGCUACACACGUGCUACAAUGGACGGUACAAACGGUUGCCAACCCGCGAGGGGGAGCUAAUCCGAUAAAACCGUUCUCAGUUCGGAUUGUAGGCUGCAACUCGCCUAC